CGAAUUUUAUUUUUCACUUUUUGGGUGUCAGAAUGGCAUGAAACUCUAAAUCUAGCCUUAUAAAAAUAAUUCUGACAUAUUCUCCAGUUUUCAUCAUUUUCUCAUACUGUAAAUUUUCUACUAAAAUACCAACCUCGUUUUCUACAGAAAUUCCCACAUACGCACAGCAUCUCUCGCUCGCAAAUGCUACCCAAUCAUCACUGGGCGAAAUUCUCUCUUAGAAAUUCGUACACACUCCAAC
rnacentral:lncRNA from 1 species